CUGCGAAACAUUGUCCCUAAACGUGAUACGCGGACGGAUAUCAAUAUUAUCGUAAUACCUUAUAACCACACUAGAUCAUACAUUUGUUAUCAACCGUAUCAUCGUGAUAACGCCGACCGCGAAAGUUUGGUUUUCGAUUUCAGUGUUAUCGUGUAACCCCCCGAACGAGGAAUAUAUUAUGGAAAUUAGGAUCCGUUUUGCAAUGAAGUUUUUUUUUGUUUUUGAUAGAUGUUAAGGUAAGUACUUCAAGAGCGGAACUAUUGUUUUGCAUUUCACGCUGUUUUCCGGUUUUCGGGUCGUUUUUUUUUUAUAAGGGCGUGUUUGGCUAUUUUUUAAUUCUUUUUUUGACGAGACAUUUAAAUCCGGGUCUCACGAUUACAAGUGAUAUUCAAUAUGCGUUCAAUGACUCUUCCACCCAUCUCGAUAUCGCGGAAAAUAUGUAAUUCGCCGGAUGUAAUACCCAUUAUAUCGAGUAUAUAAAAAGGUAAACUCAUUUUUCGUCAAAGUGGGUUACCAUGUUGUAUAUUAUCGCGGGUAAAAGUGCUUUUACGCGAUACGCCCACAAUGACGCCCGUCGUUAGCCUUUUACAAACCGCAGGUCGAUAAGCGUCUAAUGUUAAAAAAAAAAAAUAAUAAUAAUAAUAAUAAUAUAAAAAAAAAAAAGACAAGAGUACAUUAUUGUGCGGGCGCGCACACAAACACGCCACCUCGGUGCAAAAGCCGAAAGGUUAAAGGCUUAAAAUCGAAGAAACGACCGCCGCUUUACCCUAUCGAAUUCCCUCAAAAGCCGUAUUCUCACACUUCUCCACAUAGACGAUUUGAUCCUCGUUAAAUUAUAAUCUCCUCCUUCGCCAUCUGUCCCAGCUAUUUAUGGUCGUUAGAUAAUCGUGAUAAUCGAAAUAAUUCGGACAUAGCGCACACGCGGAAAUCAGAGACCUAAGGGGAGGGAGCAAAUCACUCAAAGCCUCCUCCCCCUCUUACCGUUCCUUUUUUUUUUUUUAUACAAUAAGUCGCAAUAUCAAAUCUUCUUCACUUAUACGCCGACACGACGAAACAUAAAAAAACAAUACGAAACUAUUGUUGUUGCGACAAUUUUUGAAUAUUUUUAAAUUUCAUUUCCGCGUGUCGGUGUAACACCGAUAUAAUAACUAUACACUAUGAUUAAUACUUAGUUUUCGAUUUUUUUUUCCUCUCGCGUAAUUUUACGUUUU